rnacentral:lncRNA from 1 species
GGGAAGGAGGUUCAAGAAAGAAACAACAGUUAACUUACUUCCUGUAGAUUGUAGAAAGCUGUCGUCUCAGAGUCUCAUCAGUAAUAGAAGGGAGGCAGAAGUUCAUGGAAAGUCAACGCCCUGCAAGUGAGAUUUUAUUAUUACAGGCAUAAAGCAACAAUGAACAGAAAGCAGCACCAGAUUAUCAGAAUGAAAAUUUGGCAAUUGCAACAGUGCUUGUGUCAGGGUGAAAUGUGUCUUUCAAAGUCAUUAUCUGUAGUUUGUUCUUGUUGUAUACAACAGAGGAGUCUCUUGUUGUUUAGGCAAUCCUUAGACCAUUGAAAACCACAUUUUGGUAUUGUAAUUAUGUUUUAGGAGUGUUUGGUAAUUGGAAAUUGUGGAAUUUGGAAGAAACCCUUGUUAUCGGGUUUUGUUAGACAAUCUGCAGCAGCCCAUGAGCAGUAUCGCUCAUACAGUAGCAUUUGUAAAUUAGUCUUUGUAUAAACUAGUAGUAUAUACUUCUUCUAGAAUUGACGUUACUUGUGUGAUUGAAGAUUUGAGAUUCAAAUUAUAUCCAUCUGCCACGCAACACAGUGAUCAUAAAUAAAUAAUUCACAGAAAAGUAAAUGUAACCUCUUUGAAUGCUACUUAGCUUGGUGUCGAGAAUUCUCUCGCGGUCUAGAAUUUGUGGAUGAGGCGGUGAUAAGAGACUUCGGCUGAUAAAAG